GUGCCAGCAGCCGCGGUAAUACGGAAGAUGCGAGCGUUAUCCGGAUUUAUUGGGUUUAAAGGGAGCGUAGGCGGGCUUUUAAGCCAGCGGUCAAAUGUCAGGGCCCAACCUUGGCAUGCCGUUGGAACUGGGAGCCUUGAAUACACACAAGGAAGGUGGAAUUCGUCGUGUAGCGGUGAAAUGCUUAGAUAUGACGAAGAACUCCGAUUGCGAAGGCAGCCUUCUGGGGUGCGAUUGACGCUGAGGCUCGAAAGUGCGGGUAUCGAACAGGAUUAGAUACCCUGGUAGUCCGCACAGUAAACGAUGAAUGCUCGUCAUCGGCGACAGACAGUCGGUGACCAAGGGAAACCAUUAAGCAUUCCACCUGGGGAGUACGCCGGCAACGGUGAAACUCAAAGGAAUUGACGGGGGCCCGCACAAGCGGAGGAACAUGUGGUUUAAUUCGAUGAUACGCGAGGAACCUUACCCGGGCUUGAAUUGCAGGGGAACGAUACAGAGAUGUUGAGGUCCUUCGGGACUCCUGUGAAGGUGCUGCAUGGUUGUCGUCAGCUCGUGCCGUGAGGUGUCGGCUUAAGUGCCAUAACGAGCGCAACCCUUGCUGUCAGUUGCCAUCAGGUAGAGCUGGGCACUCUGGCGGGACUGCCAUCGCAAGAUGUGAGGAAGGUGGGGAUGACGUCAAAUCAGCACGGCCCUUACGUCCGGGGCUACACACGUGUUACAAUGGGGGGUACAGAAUGUUGCUUACGGGCGACCGUUGGCGGAUCAUUAAAUCCCCUCUCAGUUCGGACUGGAGUCUGCAACCCGACUCCACGAAGCUGGAUUCGCUAGUAAUCGCGCAUCAGCCAUGGCGCGGUGAAUACGUUCCCGGGCCUUGUACACACCGCCCGU
rnacentral:rRNA from 1 species